rnacentral:rRNA from 1 species
AGUGAACGCUGGCGGCAGGCCUAACACAUGCAAGUCGAGCGGGGUUUUCGGACCUAGCGGCGGACGGGUGAGUAACGCGUAGGAAGCUACCCGAUAGAGGGGGAUACCAGUUGGAAACGACUGUUAAUACCGCAUAAUGUCUACGGACCAAAGUGUGGGACCUUCGGGCCACAUGCUAUCGGAUGCGCCUACGUGGGAUUAGCUAGUUGGGGAGGUAAUGGCUCACCAAGGCGACGAUCCCGAGCUGGUUUGAGAGGAUGAUCAGCCACACUGGAACUGAGACACGGUCCAGACUCCUAAGGGAGGCAGCAGUGGGGAAUAUUGGACAAUGGGCGCAAGCCUGAUCCAGCCAUGCCGCGUGUGUGAAGAAGGCCUUCGGGUUGUAAAGCACUUUCAGUAGGGAGGAAGCGUUGUGUGUUAAUAGUACACAGCGUUGACGUUACCUACAGAAGAAGCACCGGCUAACUCUGUGCCAGCCGCCGCCGUAA